rnacentral:rRNA from 1 species
CCUACGGGGUGCAGCAGUGGGGAAUAUUGCACAAUGGGCGCAAGCCUGAUGCAGCCAUGCCGCGUGUGUGAAGAAGGCCUUCGGGUUGUAAAGCACUUUCAGCGGGGAGGAAGGCGUUAAGGUUAAUAACCUUGGCGAUUGACGUUACCCGCAGAAGAAGCACCGGCUAACUCCGUGCCAGCAGCCGCGGUAAUACGGAGGGUGCAAGCGUUAAUCGGAAUUACUGGGCGUAAAGCGCACGCAGACGGUCUGUCAAGUCGGAUGUGAAAUCCCCGGGCUCAACCUGGGAACUGCAUUCGAAACUGGCAGGCUAGAGUCUUGUAGAGGGGGGUAGAAUUCCAGGUGUAGCGGUGAAAUGCGUAGAGAUCUGGAGGAAUACCGGUGGCGAAGGCGGCCCCCUGGACAAAGACUGACGCUCAGGUGCGAAAGCGUGGGGAGCAAACAGGAUUAGAUACCCUUGUAGUC